rnacentral:rRNA from 1 species
GUGAACGCUAGCGGUAGGCCUAACACAUGCAAGUCGAACGGCAGCACAGUAAGAGCUUGCUCUUACGGGUGGCGAGUGGCGGACGGGUGAGGAAUACAUCGGAAUCUACUUUUUCGUGGGGGAUGACGUAGGGAAACUUACGCUAAUACCGCAUACGACCUACGGGUGAAAGCAGGGGAUCUUCGGACCUUGCGCGAUUGAAUGAGCCGAUGUCGGAUUAGCUAGUUGGCGGGGUAAAGGCCCACCAAGGCGACGACCCGUAGCUGGUCUGAGAGGAUGAUCAGCCACACUGGAACUGAGACACGGUCCAGACUCCUACGGGAGGCAGCAGUGGGGAAUAUUGGACAAUGGGCGCAAGCCUGAUCCAGCCAUACCGCGUGGGUGAAGAAGGCCUUCGGGUUGUAAAGCCCUUUUGUUGGGAAAGAAAAGCAGCAGGUUAAUACCCCGCUGUUCUGACGGUACCCAAAGAAUAAGCACCGGCUAACUUCGUG